UGGGGAAUUUUGGACAAUGGGGGCAACCCUGAUCCAGCAAUGCCGCGUGAGUGAAGAAGGCCUUCGGGUUGUAAAGCUCUUUUGUCAGGGAAGAAACGGUAGUAGCGAAUAACUAUUACUAAUGACGGUACCUGAAGAAUAAGCACCGGCUAACUACGUGCCAGCAGCCGCGGUAAUACGUAGGGUGCAAGCGUUAAUCGGAAUUACUGGGCGUAAAGCGUGCGCAGGCGGUUGUGUAAGUCAGAUGUGAAAUCCCCGGGCUCAACCUGGGAAUUGCAUUUGAGACUGCACGGCUAGAGUGUGUCAGAGGGGGGUAGAAUUCCACGUGUAGCAGUGAAAUGCGUAGAUAUGUGGAGGAAUACCGGUGGCGAAGGCAGCCCCCUGGGAUAACACUGACGCUCAUGCACGAAAGCGUGGGGAGCAAACAGGAUUAGAUACCCCCGUAGUCCCUGAGCGGGCUGGCAAGGCGCAU
rnacentral:rRNA from 1 species